rnacentral:rRNA from 1 species
UACGUAGGGGGCAAGCGUUGUCCGGAUUUAUUGGGCGUAAAGCGCGUGUAGGCGGCCACACAGGUCCGCUGUGAAAACUCGAGGCUCAACCUCGAGCUGUCGGUGGAAACCGUGUGGCUAGAGUCCGGAAGAGGAGACUGGAAUUCCCGGUGUAGCGGUGGAAUGCGCAGAUAUCGGGAGGAACACCCGUGGCGAAGGCGGCUCACUGGCCCGGUACUGACGCUGAGGUGCGAAAGCGUGGGGAGCAAACAGGG